rnacentral:rRNA from 1 species
GACAGAGGGGGCAAGCGUUGCUCGGAAUUACUGGGCGUAAAGCGCACGUAGGCGGAUCGUUAAGUCGGGGGUGAAAUCCUGGAGCUCAACUCCAGAACUGCCUUCGAUACUGGCGAUCUUGAGUCCGGAAGAGGUGAGUGGAACUCCUAGUGUAGAGGUGGAAUUCGUAGAUAUUAGGAAGAGCACCAGUGGCGAAGGCGGCUCACUGGUCCGGUACUGACGCUGAGGUGCGAAAGCGUGGGGAGCAAACAGG